rnacentral:rRNA from 1 species
AGGGAUGACGGCCUUCGGGUUGUAAACCUCUUUCAGCAGGGAAGAAGCUUUCGGGUGACGGUACCUGCAGAAGAAGCACCGGCUAACUACGUGCCAGCAGCCGCGGUAAUACGUAGGGUGCGAGCGUUGUCCGGAAUUAUUGGGCGUAAAGAGCUCGUAGGCGGCUUGUCACGUCGGUUGUGAAAGCCCGGGGCUUAACCCCGGG